rnacentral:sRNA from 1 species
GCCCAUACUUCGUUCUAAGCAUAUAUGGGGUAUCCUAAACACGAUGCUGGUGACUGUUUUUCGAUUGCUGGCUCCCUUCAUAGAGUAAUUGCGUCUGUAAUUAACAUAGAGUAAUUGCGUUUGUACUACGUACUACGCAUCUAUAGUCAAAACUAGGUCACGGGUCCCAGGUACGAAAAUUUUUAGUGCGGAUUCGUGAUUAAGACAUAUUUUUACCCAUUAGAGCAAGUCCCCACUUAAAACUGAGAGAAAGUUGAUUCCUUCCGAAAUUGCAUUUUUCGCCGACUGAAACGAUGAAUUUUUGGGCAAUUUUGGGCAAAUUUUGACGGGAUAAAAAAUUCGCCCAUACUUCGUUCUAAGCAUAUAUGGGGYMWCCUAAACACGAUGCUGGUGACUGNWUUYUSSAKWGCUSSSKCCCUUCAUAGAGUAAUUGCGUCUGUAAUUAACACAGAGUAAUUGCGUUUGUACGCAUAUAUAGUCAAAAACUAGGUCACGGGUCCCAGGUACGAAAAUUUUGAGUGCGGAUUCGUGAUUAAGACAUAUUUUUACCCAUUAGAGCAAGUCCCCACUUAAAACUGAGAGAAAGUUGAUUCCUUCCGAAAUUGCAUUUUUUCCUGACUGAAACGAUGAAUUUUUGGGCAAUUUUGGGCAAACUUUGACCGGAUAAAAAAUUCGCCCAUACUUCGUUCUAAGCAUAUAUUGGGUGUCCUAAACACGAUUCUGGUGACGGUUUUUUGAUUGMUGGCUCCCUUCAUAGAGUAAUUGCGUCUGUAAUUAACAUAGAGUAAUUGCGUUUGUACGCAUUUGUAGUCAAAACUAGGUCACGGGUCCCAGGUACGARAAYUYUGAGUGCNGAUUCGUGAUUAAGASAUAKUKUUACCCAUUAGAGCAWGUCCCCACUUAAAACUGAGAGAAAGUUGAUUCCUUCCGAAAUUGCAUUUUUCGCCGACUGAAACGAYGAAUUUUUGGGCAAUUUUGGGCAAAYUUUGACCGGAUNMAAAAUUCGCCCAUACUUCGUUCUAAGCAUAUAUKGGGYSWCCUAAACACGAUKCUGGUGACKGUUUUUYGAUUGMUGGCUCCCUUCAUAGAGUAAUUGCSUCUGUAAUUAACAYAGAGUAAUUGCGUUUGUACSCAUWURUAGUCNAAAACWARGUCACGGGUCCCAGGUACGAAAAUUUUGAGUGCGGAUUCGUGAUUAAGACAUAUUUUUACCCAUUAGAGCAAGUCCCCACUUAAAACUGAGAGAAAGUUGAUUCCUUCCGAAAUUGCAUUUUUUCCUGACUGAAACGAUGAAUUUUUGGGCAAUUUUGGGCAAACUUUGACCGGAUAAAAAAUUCGCCCAUACUUCGUUCUAAGCAUAUAUUGGGUGUCCUAAACACGAUUCUGGUGACCGUUUUUU